rnacentral:rRNA from 1 species
UAAGAGAAGGUUUAAGCCGUGCAUGUCUAAGUAUUUUAUACAAUGAAACUGCGAAUGGCUCAUUAAAUCAGUUAUCGUUUAUUUGAUAGUACCUUUACUACAUGGUCAUAACCGUGGUAAUUCUAGGGAUAAUACAUACUAAAAGCCCCGACUGUUGGAUGCAUUUAUUAGAUAAAAAACCAAUUCUCUUCGGAGAACUUGGAUAAUUCAUAAUAGCUUUUCGAAUCGCAUGGCUUCAUUGCCGGCGAUGGUUCAUUCAAAUUUCUACCCUAUCAACUUUCCAUGGUAGGAUAGUGGCCUACCAUGGUUUCAACGGGUAGCGGGGAAUUAGGGUUCCGGAGAGGGAGCGUGAGAAACGGCUAUCACGUCCAAGGAAAGCAGCAGGUGGGCCUUGUAAUUGGAAUGAAUACAAUGUAAAUGCCUUAACGAGGAAUAGGACAAGUCUGGUGCCAGCAGCCGCGGUNNNNNNNNNNNNNNNNNNNNUUCAAUAGCGUAUAUUAAUGUUGCAAUUAGAAAGCCCGUAGUUGAACCUUGGGCGUAGUUGGCCGGUCCGCUUUUUGGCGAGUACUGGAUCCAACCGAGCCUUUCCUUCUGGCUAACCUUCUGUCUUUCACGGGGCGGUUGGCGAACCAGGAAAUUUACCUUGAGAAAAUUAGAGUGUUCAAAGCGGGCCUAUAGCUCGAAUAUGUUUGCAUGGAAUAAUAGAAUAGGACGUUAUGGUUCUAUUUGUUUCUAGGACCAUCGUAAUGAUUAAUAGGGACGUUCGGGGGCAUCAGUAUUCAGUUGUCAGAGGUGAGAUUCUUGUAUUUACUGAAGACUUACUGCGAAAGCAUUCGCAAGGACGUUCUCAUUAAUCAAGAACGAAAGUUGGGGAUCGAAGAUGUUCAGAUACCGUCGUAGUCUUAACCAUAAACUAUGCCGACUAGGGAUCGGGUUCUUUUAUUGACACACUCGGCACCUUACGAGAAAUAAAAGUCUUUGGGUUCUGGAAUUGACGGAAGAGCACCACCAGGAGUGGAGCCUGCGGCUUAAUUUGACUCAACACGGGGAAACUCACCAGAUCCGGACACAAUAAGGAUUGACAGAUUAAGAGCUCUUUCUUGAUUUUGUGGGCGGUGGUGCAUGGCCGUUCUUUCUGUCUGCUUGAUUGUGAUAACGAACGAGACCUUAACCUACUAAAUAGUACUAGUUUUGCUGGACUUCUUAGAGGGACUAUCUAUUUCAAGUAGAUGGAAGUUUGAGGCAAUAGCAUGUCGAAAGAUUUAGAUUAAGUAGCAGCUUUAGGGAAAUGUAACACAUUAUUUAUCAGGGAAACUAUUACGAAAUAUCACCUGAAUAUCUUGGAAGAGAACAAACCAUGAGUGCAAACUACACAGCUCAAGCUGCUCCAGUUCCUCACACGGUCAAAACAUUCUGAUGAAAGGAAU